rnacentral:rRNA from 1 species
AGUGAACGCUGGCGGUAGGCCUAACACAUGCAAGUCGAACGGCAGCACAGUAAGAGCUUGCUCUUACGGGUGGCGAGUGGCGGACGGGUGAGGAAUACAUCGGAAUCUACUUUUUCGUGGGGGAUAACGUAGGGAAACUUACGCUAAUACCGCAUACGACCUACGGGUGAAAGCAGGGGAUCUUCGGACCUUGCGCGAUUGAAUGAGCCGAUGUCGGAUUAGCUAGUUGGCGGGGUAAAGGCCCACCAAGGCGACGAUCCGUAGCUGGUCUGAGAGGAUGAGCAGCCACACGGGAAAUGAGAACAGGUCCAGACUCCUACGGGAGGCAGAAGGGGGGAAUAUUGGAAAAUGGGCGAAACCCUGAUCCAGCCAAACCGGGGGGGGGAAGAAGGCCUUCGGGUUGUAAAGCCCUUUUGUUGGGAAAAAAAAGCAGAAGGUUAAUACCCCGCUGUUCUGAGGGUACCAAAAGAAAAAGCACCGGCAAACUUCGU